rnacentral:rRNA from 1 species
UUUGAAAUCUGGCCCCCGGGUCCGAGUUGUAAUUUGCAGAGGAUGCUUCGGGCGAGGUGCCUUCCGAGUUCCCUGGAACGGGACGCCACAGAGGGUGAGAGCCCCGUCUGGUCGGACACCGAGCCCGUGUGAAGCUCCUUCGAAGAGUCGAGUAGUUUGGGAAUGCUGCUCAAAAUGGGAGGUAUAUGUCUUCUAAAGCUAAAUAUUGGCCAGAGACCGAUAGCGCACAAGUAGAGUGAUCGAAAGAUGAAAAGCACUUUGAAAAGAGGGUUAAAAAGUACGUGAAAUUGUUGAAAGGGAAGCGCCCAUGACCAGACUUGGGCCCGGUGAAUCACCCGGCGUUCUCGCCGGUGCACUUUGCCGGGCACAGGCCAGCAUCAGUUUGGCGCGGGGGACAAAGGCUUCGGGAACGUGGCUCCCUCGGGAGUGUUAUAGCCCGCUGCGUAAUACCCUGCGCCGGACUGAGGUACGCGCAUCGCAAGGAUGCUGGCGUAAUGGUCAUCAGCGACCCGUCUUGAAACACGGACCAAGGAGUCGUCUUCGUAUGCGAGUGUUCGGGUGUCAAACCCCUACGCGGAAUGAAAGUGAACGCAGGUGAGAGCUUCGGCGCAUCAUCGACCGAUCCUGAUGUUCUCGGAUGGAUUUGAGUAAGAGCAUACGGGGCCGGACCCGAAAGAAGGUGAACUAUGCCUGUAUAGGGUGAAGCCAGAGGAAACUCUGGUGGAAGCUCGCAGCGGUUCUGACGUGCGAAUCGAUCGUCAAAUAUGGGCAUGGGGGCGAAAGACUAAUCGAACCUUCUAGUAGCUGGUUUC